UAGGGACCCGCACAUAAUGAUAAUUCGGGACUCAGUUUCAAUUACAUCUUCCUCCAGAACCUGAGCGUUUUUGCGCCAUUAGCCCAUCCUGUUCUGGGUAACAUCACAGAGCACUGAGAAACUGUGUAGAAUAGAUACUUCCAAGGCUAGAUGUAGUGUGCGUGUCUUUCAGUAGAUACCAAAAAGCCUCCAUGCACACACAUUUGAACACAGAACUAAAGAAACGUUAAAAAAAUUAAUUUAAAUCUACAUCCAUGGAAUAAUUUACUAUUCUUCCUUUCCUUAACUUGUCUUUCAGCCAAGUUUUUUAUUUUUUGUUUUUCUCUUUUUCUCCCUUAUAUUUUUCACCCAGAUCCUAGAGUGCCGUCAGGGUUUGCCCCGACUUCAUUCAGCUUCUCUGCAGUUGUGGCCAUUUUCUUUCCUUCUGAAAGUUAAAGACGCUGGAGAGAAAAGCUCACCACUGAAUGGUGCUUAAACACUGGGGCACAGAACAGGCUCCUUUGACAUCGUUUGAUAGCAGGCUUAAUGCUGUGGUCGCUUCUUACUUCUCCCCUUGAGAACAAAUUCAGGUUCAUGGUUAAAAAAUUAGCAACAUCUUUCAAAAAGUCUAUUACACUACAAUUACCAAAACACAGGGACAGUUUUAGGCAUCCCCAGAAAGUCUGACCUUGUGUUUAAUUGGAGAGCUUAUUUUCAACAUGCUUUCCUCGUGUUUGAACAAGGACAAGAGUAGAAAAGCCAACACCUUGGGCUCUUCUGGUUGUAAGUUGGGGCUUUAAACUUUCAAGGUACCGAAGUAUGUCUUUUCCAAGGAGAGUAACAUUUGUUUAGCUAGUGAAUGUGACAAUAUUUUUUAUGUAUAUAAUGAGUCUAAUGUAAUUUUAAUCAACUUGGUAAUGAUGUUAUUAAACAGCAAAACGAAUGGCCGUGUGUUAGCAGCUCAGCUCUCUGCUGAAGCAGGCACAAACCCCGCUCUCCCUGGGCCUCCCUUCAGAUCAUGCGGAGGCUGAGAAAGAAUUGUACAUCAGACGCAUCGCUGAGGAUGUUAAUUCCAGUUUUUAAACCAUGAUUCUGUGACUCGUAAUAAACCAAGCUGUAUAAUUUAGGAUAUGAUAGCAGCAUCUGAGUUGCUCCAAAAUACAUAUUCAACAGUGGUAAAUACUGUAGAUUUAUAUAUAUACAUAUAUAUAUAUAUGCAAAAUAUAUAUAUACACACACUAUUUUCUUAUGUCAUCUAUGACAUUUUUAUCUGUAUACUUUUUGGGAUGUGAUUGUUUUUAACAUGCUAAAAGUAAUAAGUAUAUUUU